rnacentral:pre_miRNA from 1 species
AGUGGGAUAACUGGGUCAAAUGGGAGUUCUAUUCCAGUUUUUCUAAGGAAUCUCCAUACUGCUUUCCAGAAUGGUUGCACCAAUUUGCAAUCCCACAAGCAAU